AAACAAACAGAUAUAGCUAUAUCCAAAUAGAAAUCACAGGAGAUGCCAUCUUUCCUGGAGAGCCAUCUAUAACAGCUGAGGGCUAUAAAUGUGAGAAGUACUUGGGGAGCUUUUCCACACACACAGCAUCUGCAAGUAAGAAAGCAGGGAGGGGAGAACAUUGACCAAAAGGAGUGAGUUUGCAGUAGAAGUUAGGAGAGACAGGCAAGAGGAAAAAAAGAGGAAAACUAGGAGAGAAGGAAAAGAAAAAAUGGUAAUAUUUACAAAGGGAUGGGUGAUGAUGACCUUUGUUUUGUCCUUUGCUCUGUUGAACCACAUUUUUCAACCAUGAGAAAUCUCAAAAUUACUUUAACAGGAACUCAGAGAUGGAAAGACAAAAGUGACGUGCUGGAAUUCCACUGGGAGAGAGGUGGCCUGUUCCUUUAAGAAGGGCAGAGAAACUUCAUACAGCAAAAGGUUAGUCUGGCUUCCAGCAGAGGCAGAAGUGAAUAACAAGCCAAUCAACAUACAAAAUAUUGAACAGAGCAGCUCAGCCACAGCCAUCAGCCAAACAUGAGAUUAGUGUGUGGUUGCAGACAGGACGGAUCUUCCUGUCAUAACCUUUCUGAAUUGAGAAGAGCCAGACACUCUGAAGAGAUGAAAGAGAUCUGGGUUGAGGUCCCCAU